UACAGAGGGGGGCAAGCGUUGUUCGGAAUUACUGGGCGUAAAGGGCGCGUAGGCGGCCUUCUAAGUCGAACGUGAAAUCCCUGGGCUCAACCCAGGAACUGCGUCCGAUCACUGGAAGGCUUGAAUCCGGGAGAGGGAUGCGGAAUUCCAGGUGUAGCGGUGAAAUGCGUAGAUAUCUGGAGGAACACCGGUGGCGAAGGCGGCAUCCUGGACCGGCAUUGACGCUGAGGAGCGAAAGCCAGGGAGCAAAGCGGG
rnacentral:rRNA from 1 species